rnacentral:lncRNA from 1 species
GGAGGAAUAUCAAUUUUUCUGGAUCAAGUUGACCGUGUACCCACACACGAGUAAUUUCAUGUGAAUUUCUAAUACGAAGAAAAAGGCCAGGCUCACCAUUUUAAUUGAAGCAUUUGAGUGCAAUGCACGGUGUCCUGGGCCAUAUUUGAGUGAUCGUGUGAUGGUUAUGAGAAAUCGUCCCAGGCUGUUGAGCUGGACGUUAUCCCAAUGUGGGAUACCCCCUGGACAACGGGAAGCCGGUCGC